CUACACCACUGUUCCCUCUAAGCUGCGCAGUAGCGCAGUAUAGUAACUUUUAAAACUGUUCGAAUUCUUAUAUGUUGCUAAAAAAAAAGUCACAGUAAUAUGUCAAUUAAAAAACCUAUAGUAUAGGGUGUCGCCCAACAAACAUCAUAGUAUAGCAUGUCGCUCUAAAAACAUCACAGUAUAGCCUUUAGUCCACAGCUGUCAGUAGGUGAGGAGCAACACAAAAACAGUCCAAAUGCUGGUUUCCAGAGGGUUAGAGGAGAAUUUAUUUGAAAGAGUAAGUUUACAACAACACAACAUGUGAGGGGGUUAAAAACAAAUGGGUGUUAGUAAAAUAAAAAUAAAUAAACAGAACUAAAAGUGAACUUCAUGUUGACAUUGAUGGGCAUUCCAACCAGGAACAAAGUAAAAGAUAAUCAAUACGAAAAAAAAACCUCUUCCUGUUCACCUCUUAAAACCCAAAAACACACCGCAGUAGCAUCCUAAACUAAAACUACCAAUGGGUUCCCUGUUUUCCUGUCUGAACAAUUCAAAGGUCCCUCUCUAUCUCCCCACAGAUCCACCAACCACUGGAACACAUCUGCAAAGUUCUGCCGGGCCAGCUCAGCUUCCCCUCAGAAGAAGUGCUGCCACCUGCCAGAUGAAGGAGCCUUUUGAGAGGCAGCUGGCAUCGUGAUUGGACUGUACGUUGGUCUGUUCCAAUCCAGCUUCAGCUCCAGAGACGGCAGGCGGGACGAGUCAACGGAGGACGGGUGGACGAAGGCAUGCAGCUGAGUACAAUCCAGAAAACAACAGAGGAGGAGUGCAUCGGCCCAGAGCCAGAACAACCAGAGUAGCAUCACCAAAGAACUACAGACUCUUCACAACCUGCUCAAACUCUUGCUACAGGACCUCACCACACGGGUCAAGAAGGUUUCCUUCUCCUCAUUUCUACUCUGAAGAUCACCUUCUCCUGCUCAAACUGCUGACAAAUGUUUCUGCUGCUCUAAAGUCUGGUCUCCAGAACUUCCUAAAAACUCUCAAAGUCUCUUCUGCUGCAGGCUGCUUUGUAGAACUGUUCCAGAAAACCUCACUAAACCACAUGGAGGGGCCUCAAGAUAGUCAUCCAAAUGAAACCAUACAAAAACCAAACUAGCACAACCCAAAUGCUAAAGUCUCCUGCAGCCUACCAGAGAACCUCUGAGAACAGAGAAUCAGGACAGGAACUCUUACCUUCUGGACAACCAACAUCGGUUCUCAAACAAGAAUACAGAAUGUGUCUGACCAAAAACCUCUAAAGACUCACUACAGCCAAGAUAAAGACACAACUCAGCUGUACCAAAUCCACUAAUCACUGGACACAUUAGCACCAUGUACUAACUGUGGCUAAAGAACCACAUUUACCAAGACAACUAUCCAGUACAAAGCCCUAAAACACACCAAGAAACACAUUAAAGACGAUUUUACUGCUGGAAGCUGCAAGCCAACGCCUAAAGAACAAACUAAAGGAAUGGAACCAAACCCGGUUCACUGGUGAAGAGAAACAGAGGAAAUGUUUGCAGCCACAUAAAGCAGGAAGACACUGAGCUGCUCAGGUGUUCCUGAUAACACCAAGCUGCUCAGGUGUUCCUGAUAACACCAAGCAGCCACCUGGACAGCCAAUAGGAACACAGCUUACUGGAAGUCCAGAGGGCUGGGUUAGUGAAGGAAAUUUAGUUUAAAGUUGAAGCAGAAAGUUAACAAAGAAAGUUGAAAACCACCUUCUGAUACCUGAAAUCUCUGAGUUUUCACACAAAGAACACCUGAACAUGUCAAACUGGUUCCAUAGUAGAACCCUCAUUGUAAAAACGUCAUAGUAUGGUGUGUUGCUCAAAAAACAUUAGGACCCAGCUGUCAGGGGACAAACAUGUAAGAAACAUGAGAACAGAGAGAAUCCAACCAGUAGGUCACAGUUUAUCAUCCCCCAGUCAUCUCCUGAAGUCCAUAUGGUGAGAGACAUCAGUAUCUGGUUGUUAAUUUACCAGAGGAUGCUUAUAAUCAUGCUGAUGUGGUCUGUACUCUACAGUAUUUUAGUGACUCAAUAAAUGCCUAAGUUGUUUUUUUUUUAAAUGCUUUUUAGUUUUUAAUAAACAUUUAACAGCC